UAAGUGGGAUGAUGUUAGACAAAUGUCAUAGCCCCUCUGGACUCCAGAGUCUAUCCAUAGCAGGAACUGGCUAAAGGGAGGCUUAGAAGAUACUGUUAGCAUUUCGUCUAAGCUCCGCCCCACAGUUACCUGGCGAUGGCCAGGCAUGCGCACUCACUUAUAAGGGGCUGCUCUCCUCACUCUGCUCUCUUGCUCUUGCCUUCUAAUAUAUACUGUGUGUGAAGUCGGCUAUGUGCUGCUCAUAAGCGCUUCCAGAUGCAAGGAUGCAGUCAUCUGUCUUUCAUGGAAUGGGGUAAGGGCCAGGCUUGCAGGUAGCCCCGGGAAGAGAGAAACUUCUACUAACGGGAGAGGGAAGGGUCUGGACCACCGAGGUUUGCCUGAAGGUGAAACCUGAGGCUGGGUCACCAUAUGGACCAGAGAAGCAAUCUCGAUUGAGCCUGUUUUCAUAACUUUAUCCCAAAACACAGCUCUUUGGACAGGAUCCAGAACUGAGCCCUCGGGAGGCAGUGAACUAAGCAGCCAGCUGUUGUCUGCAUAGCUGUGGUUAAUCUCUCAGCCACACCCCUUUGGACAUUCCUCUGCAGGGAAGGAGAAAAACACGAGACGUGUCAUAUUUGGCUGCGGCGUAAGCGCUCUGACCCUGCCAUUCUGGGGACCGCUUGCAUCCUAGGCAGCCUGACUUCCCACACAGCUGUGUCCAGGCCUGCUAAUCUGAUAGGAGGGCUGGCUUGCAGAAUGACUGCUUUCUCCGGUAAAGAUGAUGCUGUGAGGAAGAAGGGAGGAAGAGAGAGCCGAUAGAAGGAUGCUCUGGGGAGCAGGAAGAGUUUGCUCUAAGCUUGUCACAUGGCUCCAGUGACCUAUCAGAGGACAUCGUUGAUAACCAUUCGGGGUUCCCAAAAUACCUUUGGUCAUCUUAUUCCAGGCCCCCAAAUUCUGGACCUUUGCCA
rnacentral:lncRNA from 1 species